rnacentral:rRNA from 1 species
UACGAAGGGGGCUAGCGUUGCUCGGAAUCACUGGGCGUAAAGCGCACGUAGGCGGAUUGCUAAGUCAGGGGUGAAAUCCUGGAGCUCAACUCCAGAACUGCCUUUGAUACUGGCGAUCUUGAGUCCGGGAGAGGUGAGUGGAACUGCGAGUGUAGAGGUGAAAUUCGUAGAUAUUCGCAAGAACACCAGUGGCGAAGGCGGCUCACUGGCCCGGUACUGACGCUGAGGUGCGAAAGCGGUGGGGAGCAAACAGGGAUUAGAA